GAGUAUGACGGCUCACAAUGAGAACUGCUAAUUCCUCAUCUCCGUGGUUCAAAUCCACGGCUUACUCA
rnacentral:tRNA from 1 species